rnacentral:lncRNA from 1 species
AUCAAAUAACCCAAGACAACAUAUAUAUGUGUGUGCAUGCAUAAAUUAAUAAUCCAUCAGACGGUUAGUUGAUAUAUGCCAACCCGUAUAUUGGUUGGUGCCGCAUUUUUAUUUGUUAGUGUGACCUUGAGAGAGUUUGCAAUCAUGGCAUGGCUUGGCAUGCCACUCUUGUGCUAGUUUUUCAAUUGUGUGUAUGUGUAUUGGCUUGUAUAUGCACUACCCACCAGGGUAUACCUAGCUACAUAUGCAUGUGUUGUAAAUGUGUGUACAUCAUGCAUCUUUUAAACCCAUAUAGAAUAAGCUACUUUGUUUAUAUAUAUAUUUUUUCCAUUAAAUGUAUUAAUGUCUGUGAAUUUGAUCACAUGUGUGCAUUGUAUCUGGAAAAGAUUUUUGGCACGCACCGACCUAGAGGGGAUUUCCAUCCACCACAUAAACACUUAUUUAUACUUUGAAAUGUGUUCUAAUAAAAUAUUAACUCACUUCUAAAUGUGUGCUAGUAAUUUUAUUCCACAUCUAAUCCAGGGCAAAUAUUUGUGGUGAUGUCCAAGAGAGCGACAUGCUCUACACCAUGUUUCACACAUACUCUGUUGGGAAAAAGUAGUGCCUAGGAGGCGCUGAGGCAUGCUUAGGCGCUAGGCCAUGGCCAAAUGGCUCGCCUAGGGCAUAAGUGGAAGUCUAGGCAGGCCAAGAAAGGAAUUGUCUACCCAAUCGGGAAAUCAUGCUAUAUUGCACCAAUAUGCCAAACAUGACAUAUUCCAAUGAAAGUACCUGGUAGUUAACUUAUAUGUAUACCAUAAUAUCCAUACACAUAAUAAUAAUCACAUAUACACCCUGAUUACCAAAACUAUAUUACCGCCUAGGCUUGCGUAGGGCACUUAAGCACCGCAUAGGCACUAGGCGAAGGUCAACCAUCUCGCUUAUGCCUACCGCUCACAUAUAUAGUAUGUGACAUAGGCUUGGUCUACUAGAAAAUAUAGCUUUCAUCUCAGAAUAAAAUUUUCACGUUGUAGUAUUUACCAAUCCGUUUUUUAAGUUACUGGCCCGCAUGCCAUGCCACUACUGGAAAGACUUAUAGCCGGGGUCACAUUAGUGGCGGGAAUAGAUAGGAACCCGCCACAAUUAUUUUGGGAAGUUCUAGUGGCGGGUGGAAAAAAGGGAUGGCCACUGCUAAAUGAUCGGUAUGAUGGGCAAUAAUCGUCAAUGCCACUCCUAUAUUUUCACGGAAUUAGCCAUGGGAUAGAAACAAUAUUGUGGCGGGUCAGGUGACACGCCAACCAUUGGUUCUCAACGUAUCUAUGGAGGGCCAUGAGAAAUUCCUGCCACGGUAAUAUUUUGCUAACCCAUGCCCAAACUCUCCAAAAUUUUCUAAAGUAGCAGUGGCAGGGAGAAGAUGGCGCCCGCCACAGGUCUUGUAAGUAUGGAAAGUGCUUGAAUAUAUCAUGUUCAUUAACCUAGUGUAGCCUCAAGCUACAACAUUGCGCUUUCAAUAGUGUAUAUUCAACAUAGAAAAGGUUUAAAGGGAAAAUAUUUUUAAAAAUGGAUUUCAAUGGGAAAGCGAGUGUUUCUGUUCACUGAAGAGUGUUUGGUUUAUACAUGAAGUACAUCUAGUUUUUUGUGUAGUGCUCUCAAAUUUGUACCACAACCUAUAGGGGUGAUACGAUGAACCCAUGCCAAGUUUCAAACUUUUCAUAGCUCAUUUGCAUGUUAUUUCAAACAGAAUAGCGUUUUGGACUUUUUAGUUGCCAGCAAAUCAAUUAAUGCUUAAAAAAUAAACCAACUCAAUAGGUGUUCAAAUUUGAGCAUUGCACUGUGAUUGGUGUGUAUUGAACAUUGAAAAAGUUUGAGGGGGCAAUCAGUUUAAAUAAUAGAGUUAUGUGUGCUAGGCGGUGGUUUCCAUUCCAAACUCGGAUACUUCAUCAGAGACUAUUCAGUUUGUACACGAAGUGCAUCAAGUUUUUUCAUAACGUUCUAAAAAAAUGGGCCAAUAGCUCCUGUGCAACGUUUUUCAUGCAAAUUGGAAGGAGUGCGAUGUAGUUCGAAUGAAUGGUUGUGGUGCGACACAUUUUAGUGUGUAAAUAGCCUAGGGUCACAUUGGGUGUUAAAUGGGGUUAAAUUGGUCGUUAACCAAGCCCGUUUAUGUUAGGACAUGUGGGUCCAACUUAAUUGGCCCUCAAAAUAGCUGACUGUGCCCUGCCACCCCCGUCCGCCCCCACUGCCACUCUGCCCCCCACCCCACUUCUUCUCCGGCAGCGGCGGAUCUUGCAUUCUCGGCGGCGGUGGCGGAGCCCUCGUUCUCAUCGGGCACCCAUUCCCUUCGUCUUCAGAAAAUGGUGAGUGAAUUCGAACCCUAGUCUCGUUCCUCUCUCGGGCCCGUAGAUCUCAGCUCGUUUCCUCUAUUUUCGCUUGUUGAAUCGACAGGUUGUGAGGGGAGCCCGUGGGCAUACUGAGAUGGAGCCGCAAGAUUCAACUUCGAAUAGGUAAUGCGCCUCUCUUUGAUCCAAUUUCGUCUGCUCUUUCUCACGGGCUCACACUGUACGCCACUGACAGAGGGGAUGAUGUCGCUCGGAUGUUCGAAUUGACGGUCAAUUUACUUCCAUCAAAGGCAAAAUUAGUUGAUGGUAGCAUACAGAACAUUGAGAGAGACACAAUUGUUAAAUGGGAGGUUGAGUUAUAGAGAUUGAUCCACAAGUUGUACAGAACAUGGGAGAGAAGGCAUUGAAAAAAUGGGUGGAAAAAAUUGGGGAGAAUAUUGUUUGGGGUCCAGAGCAAGAAGUAUCACUGUUGCGGUUUGAUGAUUGGAAAGGAGAGUGUGUGAGAAUAGAAGAUGGUGAACAGAUUGUUGAAGAAAUCGAUCGGCAAAACGGCUGGACAAGCAAACGGGCUAAUUUUUUUGCUGAGCUCAUUGAUCUGAAUAUUUUUUUCAAAGGUUGGAUAUGUGUCAUCACACUUGGCUGCGCAGAUGGUAGAUGAUGAUUGGGCUUCACAUAGGCCAUUGAUUCCCAUGUGUACUGAACUUACAGUAAUAGCCGAAGAGGGACAGGUGACUGGAACUGAAACUGCAGCUACUGUUGAUUGGAAUGUAGUUGAAUUAGAUGAGCCUACUGAUUUGGUCAUUGCACCAAUGCCUGACAUUGAGAUGGCCAAACUUUUUGGCAUUCCAGUCGAUGACAGAGAUAAGCAGGAGAGGGGUGAAUCUAGUUUGCCUGCUAAUGCUGAUGAAGAUGUAGAUGGACAGUUGAUGGAAACAAGCUGCAGAUGAAGUAGAUAAUGCACAUAAUGAUGAGCUAGUGCAUGUGUAUGACAAAGAAAACCCUGUCAUUGAAGUGGGGAAGUUGUGGCCAAACAUGGAUGAAUUUAGAAUGUGUUUCAAGACUUAUGCAGUGAAACAUGACUUUGAUGCCAAGACUGUUUGGACUGAUAGAAAGAAUUUUUAUGUGAGGUGCAGAGGAUUUGAUGGUAGUGUCAAGCCUUGCAAGUGGUACAUAUCUGCUAGACUGCAACCUGAUAGAAGUACUGUCAGGGUUAACCAAAUCCCCAAUCAACAUACUUGUAUUACAAGUUCACAGAGAGUACCAACCAUGACAUCACAACUUUGGGUUGCAGAAAAGAUCACCCCAAUUUUAGCCAAAACACCAAACACUACUGCCAAGAAACUCAAAGUAGACUUGGAAAAGAUGUACCCCAUUAAACUGAAAUAUACCACAGUGUGGAAGGCAAAACAAAGGGCAAUGAAAAAUUUAUAUGGUGAUUGGGCAAAUACAUUUAGGCUGCUUUACAACUUCAAAGCAGAGGUGGAAAAGACGUCACCUGGCAGUGUUGUGGAGAUAAAUACUGAGGUAUCAGCCAAAGGUGAAGUCAAGUUCUCCAAGUUUUUAUGGCUUUGAAGCCUUGCAUCGAUGGCUUCAAAGCAGGGUGCCGUCCAUAUUUGAGCAUAGACUCAUCAUUUUUUACAGGCAAGUGGAAUGGUCAGUUGGUAGCAUGCAAUGCUCUAGAUGGACACAACUGGAUGUUUCCUAUUGCUGUUGGCUUGUUUCAGUCAGAAAUAGAGGCUUCAUGGACAUGGUUCAUGAUCCAGUUGAAAAGAUGCCUAGGGCCAGUGUCACCUUUGGCUAUACACACAGAUGCAUGUAAGGUGCUGGAAAAUUCAGUGAAAAUGUUUUCCCACAUGCUGAGCAGAGGGAGUGCUUCGGUCAUUUGUGGAUGAAUUUGAUCAAAAAAAUUAGAGGAGAAGAAUUUGGGCGCAUGUGGUCAGCAGCAAGAUCUUACACUAGAUAGACACACAAAUAUCAUCUUGAUAAGAUAAUGGCAGCAUGCGAUGAGUUUGGUCCAUGGCUGAACACCUACCAUUCUUUGUUAUGGGACAGGUCAGGAUUCAACACUGCCAUCAAGUGUGACCACAUCAACAACAAUUUGGCAGAGAGUUUCAACAACAAGGUGAAGGAGUUAAAAGAUUUGCCUGUGCAUGACAAGGUUGACCAAAUCAAGAUCAUGCUCAUGCGGUUGUGGGAAUUGAGAAGAAGGAUAGGUGAUUGUCUGCAAGGUGAUAAGCUUCCAACAGUGGUACAACAGGUGGUUAAUAAGAGCAGAAGUCUUUCACGUUUGUUUGUUGAAAAAUCUUCACCUUGGGGUGCUGAAGUUAGAGAUAACAAAACUGGAAGGAGACAUGUUGUUAACACUGAAUUGCAUGAUUGCACUUGCCUCGAGUGGCAACACACUGGUAAACCAUGUGAGCAUGCCAUUCUUUUCUUAUCAUCCCAACCGAAGAUAAACAUGCACCCAUAUUUGCAUGAAUAUUAUUCGGUAGCAAAAUUCAAAGCUACAUAUGCUACUCCAAUUCCAGCACUUACAGAUCAAUCUCAGUGGCCUAAAGUGGAGAUCGAAUUUUCCAUGUGUCCUCCCUUGACGAAAAGAAAGGCUGGCAGGCCUAAACAGAGUAGAUUCAAGGCAUGGUUUGAGAAAGGUGGGAGUAGUAAAAAGGGAAAGAAAGAUGGAAAGCCAAAAAGGCCCAACAAGGUAACAAAAACAGAUGCAAGUUGUGCCAGGAACUUGGGCACAGAGUGGGACCUGUCAAAUGCCGUUCUUGUUUAUUUGUCUGUGUUUUUAUUUGGUGCUUUUUCCAAUUACUAUAUCUAUAACAUUUUCCCAAUGGCUAGGAGGAAGCACGCAAGUCAACCCCUUGUUGUUGAACAGUGUUGGCCAACAAAAAAAGCAAGAGUCAAAGGCUGUAGAAAGAAGAGAAGUGUGCCUGAGCCUGAGCAGACUGAAGAAAAUCCUACUGCAGUCAACAUUCAGACUAAAGAAACUGAUGUCGAGGUGCACACCGAAGAAACUGAAAUUGCAGUCAACAUUCAGACUGAAGAAACUGCUCUCGAGGUUGAAACUGAACCUAAGCGUGUCGAGGUUCAGACUGAAGAAACCCAUAUUGAGGUACACAUCGAAGAAACUGAAACUGCUGUCAACAUUCAUACUGAAGACACUAAUCUCGAGGGUGUUGGCGAGGUGUUGAAAAGACCAGUGAAGAAAACCAAGAUGAUCAGUGAACUUGUGUGUGUAGUAGAACCAAAAACAAGAAGUGCUAAGGCGAAGAAGGGCACACGACGUGGUAGGAAGAGGUAGAACAGAGAACUGUUUGAAAAUUUGUGUCAUGUAAUAAUAUUUGUAACUUGGUGCGUACUGGUAGUCACUAUGUAUCCGUGUAUUUCUAUUCAGACUUGUUUGUUGGUCAUUGUUUUAAAUUCAAAUUUGGGCUCAAAUUUGAAUUAGGGAUGGGCUAUUGAUGUUUUAAUGCUAUCUAAAGUACCUCAACUGAAAUAUGUUUGCUUGCUGAUCAAUCCGAGCCCUUUUGGUAAGUUGAACUCAUAGUCAUGAAAAGUGUGUUUCAAAUGACCUCCAAAGGUAGGGUAAACGGCCUCAUAUUUAAGAAAGUUUUUUUGGCCCCAUGUCUAAACCAGCCAAAUAAUUUUUCUACACAUCUAUUCUACCUAUAUAGUGUAAAUCUAAAGUCUAACUAUUUAUUAAAUUAAUUUUCUAUUAUUUUCUUUUCUUUUUGAAAAAACAAGGUUUAAUAGAAAAUUAUAUAUAAAAAAAGUUUAAACAUGAAAAUGAGAAAGUAAGUUAAGAUCUUUCUUAGUCAAUCCAAAAUGAAGUUUUGGUGAGGUUUUCACACUUUUCAUUUUCAAAACCCCACCUACUCUCGGUUGCCCACUACUCUCUCCCUUGAACUCCAUACUACAUUGUUCGAGGAAUGACAAUUUAGUGAAGGAUUUUUCGUAAGAAUGUAUGUAAACCAUAUUUAUAUAUUUUUCUUGUUACUAUACGACAAAAUAAGACUAUGUGCGCAAGUUUUAUAUUUUUUUUGAUUUUUUUCGAAUUACUUAUGCUCAACCCUAAUCACUCAAAACCCACAAAACCUCUCAAAACCCCUCAAAACCCCGCACACUCACGGGUCGUCGAUCGUUGUGCGUGUACGGUUGAGAUCAGGCGCUAGGGUUAGCUACAAUGUCCUUCAAUCCGCAUGAGACGCGCUGAUUGGUUGAAUCAGUGGGGUUUGGAUCAGCCUCUCUCGUUGGGGCAUCAGGGCCGUUCAUUUGAAUCCAACGGCACGAGUUGACGCGGUGCAUGGACUAAGCCUACACAGUGCCCUUUCCAUCGUUGCAUGCAUGCCUACCCGCAGCGCCGACGCCCGUUGCAGCAUGCAUGCCCUGCGCCCGUGCGUUGCAUGCAUGCCCUCGAUGUAGCCCUGAUCCGCCACCCCUCUCGAUGCAGUAAGUUGUCGCAUGCCUACCAUUAGCACCGAUGCAGCAUCGCAUCAAAGCGUGCAGAGACAACCAAAAAGCCAACGGUGCAUGGCGUGCUCCUCUUUGAACGACACAACACUGGCAUGAUGGGUAUCGAUGCAGUUCAAAUGGCGUGCUGCUCGUUACAAGAUUGGAAAAUUAAGGCGUCAAUUAUUGUCACGUCUCCCAUCGACCGAACGUUGCCCUCUAGCAAGGCCCUAGAAAGCAGGCUACAUUGCCAUGCAUGCAUGCACGGGCGGCACACGCAGAGAACCCGGGGCAGGCGUGUCCCCUUGACCCACGACGGCACAGACACGUGCGUGAGCCCGUCCCCCUUGACCCGCGACUGGUGGCACGGAAGCGUCGUAGCCCGUUUCCCACGCUCGUGUACACACUUUGAUGGGGCGCCACAAAACGUCGCCCGCCCAUUAAUUCUACCUGGUGAAACCACUCGAAGAAAUCAAAAACCACGUCGCACUUGGGCUAUUUAAGCAAGGCACUAUCGUCUUCCUCUCCCUCCUCAUCCAUACCCCAUCCUCUGCCUCCUCUGCCCUCCUUCUUCCUUCUUCUCCAUCAAACCCGAUCGAGCCCUCGAGCCACCAUGCAGUACAAUGCCCCCACCUACCACUUCCCCCCAACCGUGCCAGAAAGGCUCUACCCGGCCGGAGUCUACGUAGAGAGAACCCUUAGGGUGUGGGCGAUCUAAAGGUGGAGGGGCGCAAGGGAGUUAUCGGAGUUCUUCCUUGCGGUCGGCUUCUGCCACCUCCCCCGCGGCUCUCCAAGGAUGUACCAUGUUGAGGAGGUCAACCACAAUGGCAUUGUGGUUGGGCUCCUCGCUACGUUCACUAACCCCUUUGAUGCUUUCCACCUCCUCGGGAGAGUGUAUUGGGUUGGUUGUGAGUUCAUAGCUUUCACCACCCAUAACAUCUUCACCGACUUCAACAGCAUCUUCCCCAACAACGGCGUUAUGCACACGCUCCCUUACCCCAUCAACAACGGGGAGGAGUGAAGGGCGCCCGGAGGAGCAAGGUGGCGUCCACUCGGAGGAGGAGGAGGAGAAGAACCCGCGUUUGGUGCCCCCGAUCUAUCUAGCUUGCUAUAUAUCUAUCGUAUUAGUAUUUUAAGUUGUAAUCGUUAUGCUACUAUUAUUAAGUUGUAUUAGUAUUUUAAGUUGUAAGGCUAUCGUGGAGUUGUGAGGCUAUCGUGGAACUAUGGGUUGCAAUCGUUAUGCUUCUAUAUAAUCGUUAUGCUACUAUAUAUAUUGUGUGUUUCGUGCUAUUAUUUGCAGAUUGCUAUGGGUUGUUCUUGCUAUUACUUGUGUAUUGCUAUGGGUUGCUACGGGCCCAGGUUGCUACACCCCAAUCACCACACACAACAUCUUCAAAAUAUUGGCCAAAUAAUGGGUCAUGACUGAUAACCCACAAGUAUAGGGGAUCGCAACAGUUUUCGAGGAUAGAGUAUUCAACCCAAAUUUAUUGAUUCGACACAAGGGGAGCCAAAGAAUAUUAUCAAGUAUUAGCAGCUGAGUUGUCAAUUCAACCACACCUGGAAACUUAGUAUCUGCAGCAAAGUGUUUAGUAGCACAGUAAUAUGAUAGUGGUGGUAACGGUAGCAAAAGAGUGGUGCAAGCAAAAGUAAAUAUUUUUGGUGUUUUGUAGUGAUUGUAACAGUAGCAGCGGGAAAGUAAAUAAGCGAGAACCAGUAUAUGGAAGACUCGUAGGCACCGGAUUAGCGAUGGAUAAUUAUGUCGGAUGUGGUUCAUCAUGUAACAGUCAUAACAUAGGGUGACACAGAACUUGCUCCAAUUCAUCAAUGUAGUGUUGCAUGUAUUCCGAAUAUAGUCAUACAUGCUUAUGGAAAAGAACUUGCAUGACAUCUUUUGUCCUACCCUCCCAUGGCAGCGGGGUCCUAUUGGAAACUAAGGGAUAUUAAGGCCUCCUUUUAAUAAAGAACUGGAAUAAAGCAUUAGCACAUAGUGAAUACAUGAACUCCUCAAACUAUGGUCAUCACCGGGAGUGGUCCCGAUUAUUGUCACCUCGGGGUUGCCGGAUCAUAACACAUAGUAGGUUACUAUAGACUUGCAAGAUAGGAUCAAGAACUCACAUAUAUUCAUGAAAAACAUAAUAGGUUCAGAUCUGAAAUCAUGGCACUCGGGCCCUAGUGACAAGCAUUAAGCAUAGCGAAGUCAUAGCAACAUCAAUCUCAGAACAUAGUGGAUACUAGGGAUCAAACCCUAACAAAACUAACUUGAUUACAUGACAAAUCUCAUCCAACCCAUCACCGUCCAGCAAGCCUACGAUGGAAUUACUCACGCACGGCGGUGAGCAUCAUGGAAUUGGUGAUGGAGGAUGGUUGAUGAUGACGACGGCGACGAAUCCCCCUCUCCGGAGCCCCGAACGGACUCCAGAUCAGCCCUCCCGAGAAGUUUUAGGGCUUGGCGGCGGCUCCGUAUCGUAAAACGCGAUGAUUUCUUCUCUCUGAUUUUUUUCUCUCCGAAAGCGAAUAUAUAGAGUUGGAAUUGGCGCCGGAGGGUGUCCAGGGGGCCCACGAGGUAGGGGCGCGCCCUAGAGGGGGGGCGGCCCCACCCUCGUGGACAGGGUGUGGGCCCCCUGGUCUUCAUCUUUGGCGAGGAUUUUUUAUUGUUUUUCUAAGAUGUUCCGUGGAGUUUCAGGUCAUUCCGAGAAUAUUUGUUUUCUGCACAUAAAACAACAUCAUGGGAAUCUGCUAAAAACAGCGUCAGUCCGGGUUAGUUCCAUUCAAAUCAUACAAGUUAGAGUCCAAAACAAGGGCAAAAGUGUUUGGAAAAGUAGAUACGACGGAGACGUAUCAACUCCCCCAAGCUUAAACCCUUGCUUGUCCUCAAGCAAUUCAGUUGACAAACUGAAAGAAAGAAAGCAAAAACUAGUGAGCCAUAAUAAUAAAUCUCGGAUGACAACACUUUCUCAAAACAAUCAUAAUAUGAUAUAACAAAAUGGUAUCUCACUAGCCCUUUCUGAGACCGCAAAACAUAAAUGCAGAGCACCUUUAAAGAUCAAGGACUAACUAGACAUUGUAAUUCAUGGUAAAAGAGAUCCAAUCAUAGUCACACCCAAUAUAAAUUAAUAGUGAUGAAUGCAAAUGACAGCUGUGCUCUCCAGCUAGUGCUUUUUAAUAAGAGGGUGAUGACUCAACUUAAAAGUAAAUGGAUAGGCCCUUCGCAGAGGGAAGCAGGGAUUUGUAGAGGUGCCAGAGCUCGGUUUUGAAAUAGAGAUAAAUUAUAUUUUGAGCGGUAUACUUUCAUUGCCAACAUAGAAACUAAGAGAUGGCGAUAUCUUCCAUGCUAAACACAUUAUAGGCAGUUCCCAAAUAGAAUGGUAAAGUUUAUACUCCCCCUCCACCAACAAGCAUCAAUCCAUGGCUUGCUCGAAACAACGAGUGCCUCCAACAUACAUCAGGUCCCAGGGGAGUUUUAUUUGCAAUUAAUUUGAUUUAGUUUGCAUAAAGCAUGGGACUGGGCAUCCCGGUGACCAGCCAUUUUCUCGUGAGUGAGGAGCGGAGUCCACUCCUAUUGAGAAUAACCCACCUAACACGGAAGAUAAGGACAGCCUUGGUUGAUACAUGAGCUAUUCGAGCAUACAAAACAGAAUAUUUGUUUGAAGAUUUAGAGUUUGGCACAUACAAAUUUACUUGGAACGGUAGGUAGAUACCGCAUAUAGGAAAGGUAUAGUGAACUCAUCUGGAAUAACUUUGGGGUUUAAGGGAUUGGAUGCACAAGCAGUAUUCCCACUUAGUACAGGUGAAGGCUAGCAAAAGACUGGGAAGCGACCAACUAGAGAGCAACAACAACCAUGUGCAUGCAUUAAAAUUAAUAAACAUUGGAUGCAAGCAUGAGUAGGAUAUAAUCCACCAUGAACAUAAAUAUCGUGAAGUCUAUGUUGAUUUGUUUCAACUACAUGCGUGAACAUGUGCCAAGUCAAGUCACUUAAAUCGUUCAAAGGAGGAUACCACCCCAUCAUACCACAUCAUAACCAUUUCAAUAGCAUGUUGGCACGCAAGGUAAACCAUUAUAACUCAUAGCUAAUCAAGCAUGGCACAAGCAACUAUGAUCUCUAAUUGUCAUUGCAAACAUGUUUAUUCAUAACAAGCUGAAUCAGGAACGAUGAACUCAUCAUAUUUACAAAAACAAAAGAGGUCGAGUUUACCAGCUUUCUCAUCUCAGUCAGUCCAUCAUAUAUGUCAUCAUAAUUGCCUUUCACUUGCACGACCGAACGGUGUGAAUAAUAAUAAGAGUGCACGUGCAUUGGAUUAAGCUGGAAUCUGCGAGCAUUCAAUAAACAGGAGAAGACAAGGCAAUAUGGGCUCCGGGUUAAAUCAACAAUAAUGCAUACAAGAGCCACUUCAACAAUUUAAUUAUGGUCUUCUCCUACUAACCACCAAAGAAAAGAAAAGAAAUAAAACUAUUUACACGGGAAAGCUCUCAACAAGCAAAAGAAGAACGGGAAACAUUUUGGGUUUUCAUUUUAAUUAUUAUUGCUACAACAGUAAAAUAAACUACUACUAAUUUUUUGGUUUUUCUUAAGGUUUAACAAACACACAAGAAGAAAGCAAGAAAAAUAAAAUAAACUAGCAUGGAUAUUACAGUGAAAGAGUAUGAGCACCGACAUCUAGCAAUGAGUGUGUGUGAACAUAAAUGUAAUGUCGGUGAGAAAUACGUACUCCCCCAAGCUUAGGCUUUUGGCCUAAGUUGCUCUAUUGCCAGGGAUAGCCUGGCGGAUACCCGUAAGUGUAGCUGGGGUCGUACUGCGACGAAGAAUAGCUGGGAUCAUACUGUGAUGAAGAAGAGGACUCUGACUGCCACUGGCUGACAGUCAUCUCUCGAUCCCAAGAAUAAACAGAUUGUCGUGGAGGCUCGUCUUGUGGUUCCGGUUCCGGGGCUGGUGCAGGGUUUUUGUAAGCCUGGACAACAACUCAUGUGACGAGAUAGGGUCCUACAAAAUUAAACAAAGAAGGAUCAGGCAACGUAAUAGUUUCAGGAUAAUGUUUAUCAAAGUAUAGCUUAUAUUAUAGCUCUCCAUCCCUGCCCUUAACAAGAAAAUCAUGUGCUAGCAUGCUCUUAUAAUCUAGAUAAGCACUAGGCAGCAAUUUCUCUUCUUUCUCAUAAAGCCUAAUAGCUAUGUUAAAGUGUGCAGCGAGGCGUGAAGCAUAAAUGCCUCCAAAGAUGGGACCCUUAGUACGGUUAAGACUUAACCAUCUAGCAACAAUUUUGCCCAUGCUAACAGUGUUGUCGCGGUAUAAACCAUGGAACAAAAUAAUAAUAUCAGGAACGCUAAGGUUCCCACAGUUCCCACGACCAAUCAGGCAUCGACUAGCAAAUAAAGCAAAAUAGCAUAACACAGGAAAAUGUAUGCUAGUGAUUCUCGCAUCUGAAACCUUCCUGGUUUCUCCCACAGAGAUAAGGUUAAUAAAUGGUUCCAACUCCUUACGGGGUGGUUCCUCUAAGGUACCCUCAGGGGGUAUGUUGCAGACUGCGCAAAAUUCAGACAAUGGCAUUUUCUUCACAACGUCAUAUAAAUGAAACUCUACUGAAGGAGGUGAUUCCUUAGGGUAAAAGUAGAAGUUUUGCACAAAAGUAUUUGUGAGUAAGAGAUACUAUGGACGUUGGUCGCGGACGAAGUCGGUGAGGCCAGCAUUCUCAAUCAAUGAAUAGAAAUCCUCAUAAAUCCCGGCCUCUCUCAAGAAAUUAUCAGAAGGCCAUUCACACGGCCGGAUCUCCGCGGUACGAGGCAAAUUAUAUUUGGGCCUCUGAGCUUCUUCAUUUUGUUUCUCCUUUGAGCUUAGGCUCUAUGAGCCCCUCAAAAUUCUCUUCAUCAUUUUUCUGAAAUAAUCUGAAAUUUUUAGUAACUUCAAACAAAAGUGAACCAACUUCAAUAAAACUGAUAGCAACUACUCUUACAAGUGCCUAGAGCCUGUAUCAAGCAUUAGAGCUACUUGGAACCAUAUAAAUUUGACAUGCAAGCUCAAGAACAUGGUCACCUAAGCAGCACAAAUUUGCAAAGAAUAGAGCACUAGAACAAAAACUAAUUGGACCAAUGGAGGAGUCACAUACCAAGGAACAAUCUACCCAAAUAGUUUUGCGAGAGGUGCUUUGAGCAAGGAGAUCGAAAAUCACAGCAAAAGUGGUUGGAACUCGUGCUUGAGUUGGUUUUUCGGGUUUGUGUGAGACAGGGGAAGAAGAUGGGUACUGGGAUAAGUGGAGGAGGGCCACCAUGGGCUCACGAGGCAGGGGGCGCGCCCAGGGGGUAGGGUGCGCCCUCCACCCUCAUGGCCAGGUGGCAGCUCCCCCCGCGGUAAUUUUUGCACAGUAAAUCCUCAUAUAUUCCCGAAAAAAUCAUAUUAAAUUGGCAUGUCAUUUUGAGGACUUUUAUUUUUGGCAUAAUUUUAUAUUGCACGGAUAAGCCAGGAAACAGAUAGAAAAAUACUAUUUUUACUUUAUUUCAACUAAAUUACAGAAAGUAUAGAAGGGGUACAGAAGUUUGUGCUUCUAGUUUCAUCCAUCUCAUGCUCAUAAAAAAGAAUCCACUAACAAGGUUGAUCAAGUCUUGUUAACAAACUCAUUCCGAUAAUCAUGGAACCGGAGAAAUUUCGAAUAACACUAGGUUACCUCAACGGGGAUAUGAACAUCCCCAAUAAUAAGUAUAUCAUAUUUCUUCUUGACAGUAGGAAGAGGAAAUUCAAAACCUCCAAAUAUAAUCGAUGGAAUUUUUUCAAUAGAGUUGAUGCUAUGAACUUGAGGUUGUUUCCUCGGAAAGUGUACCGUAUGCUCAUUGCCAUUAAUAUGAAAAGUGACAUUGCCUUUGUUGCAAUCAAUAACAGCCCCUGCAGUGUUAAGGAAAGGUCUUCCAAGAAUAAUAGACAUACUAUCAUCCUCGGGAAUAUCAAGAAUAACAAAGUCCGUUAAAAUAGUAAUGUUUGCAACCACAACAGGCACGUCCUCACAAAUACCGACAGGUAUAGCAGUUGAUUUAUCAGCCAUUUGCAAGGAUAUUUCAGUAGGUGUCAACUUAUUCAAGUCAAGUCUACGAUAUAAAGAGAGAGGCAUAACACUAACACCGGCUCCAAGAUCACAUAAAGCAGUUUUAAUAUAAUUUCUUUUAAUGGAGCAAGGUAUAGUAGGUACUCCGGGAUCUCCAAGUUUCUUUGGUAUUCCACCCUUAAAAGUAUAAUUAGCAAGCAUGGUGGAAAUUUCAUCUUCCAGUAUCUUUCUUUUAUUAGUAAUGAUAUCCUUCAUAUAUUUAGCAUAAGGAUUAGUUUUGAGCACAUCAGUCAAUCGCAUACGUAAAAAGAUAGGUCUAAUCAUUUCAGCAAAGCGCUCAAAAUCCUCAUCAUCCUUUUUCUUGGAUGGUUUGGGAGGAAAAGGCAUGGGUUUAUGAACCCAUGGUUCUUUUUUUUACCAUGUUUCCUAGCAACAAAGUCUCUUUUAUCAUAACGUUGAUUCUUUGAUUGUGGGUUAUCAAGAUCAACAGCAGGUUCAACUUCUACAUCAUUAUCAUUACUAGGUUGAGCAUCAUCAUGAACAUCAUCAUUAAUAUUUUCACUAGGUUCAUGUUCAUUACCAGAUUGUGUUUCAGCAUCAGACAUAGAUAUAUCAUUUGGAUUAUCAGGUGGUUCAGCAAUAGGUUCGCUAGAAGUUUGCACAGUUCUAUAAUUUUUCUUUUUGUUCUUUUUAGAAGGACUAGGUGCAUCAAUAUUAUUUCUCUGAGAAUCUUGCUCGAUUCUCUUAGGGUGGCCUUCAGGAUACAAAGGUUCCUGAGUCAUUCUACCAGUUCUAGUAGCCACUCUAACAGCAUAAUCAUUUUUCUUACUAUUCAUCUCAUCAAGCACUUCUUUUUGAGCUUUAAGUACUUGUUCUACUUGAGUGGUAACCAUAGAAGCAUGUUUGCUAACAAGUUUAAGUUCACCUUUAAUAUUAGCCAUAUAAUCACCCAAGUAUCUAAUCUUAUAAGCAUUUUCUUUUAAUUUUCUACCAAAAUAAGCAUUGAAGUCGUCUUGCUUGACAAUAAAAUUAUCAAACUCUUCUAAGCAUUGUCUAGCAGACUUAUAGUGAGAGAUAUCACCUUCAUCAAAUCUACAGAGAGAAUUUACCUUUACUACCUGUGUCGGGAUAUCGGGAUCAGGAGGUUCUUCAAUAAAUAAGGGUUUCAGAUCAUAUACUUCUUCGACAGGCGGUAGAUUAAGACCAUGUAUUUCUUCAAUAGGAGGUAAAUUCUUAACAUCUUCAGCUUUAAUACCUUUUUCUUUCAUAGAUUUCUUUGCCUCUUGCGUAUCUUCGGGACUGAGAAAUAGAACACCUCUCUUCUUCGGAGUUGGUUUAGGAAUAGGCUCAUUAAUUGGAGCAGGAGCUGGCUCAGGAGCUGGCUCGGGAGGUGCCCAAUUAUUUUCAUUUGUCAACAUAUUAUUCAAUAGAAUUUCAGCUUCAUCCGGUGUUCUUUCCCUGAAAAGAGAGCCAGCACAACUAUCCAGGUAAUCUCUGGAAGCAUUGGUUAGUCCAUUAUAAAAGAUAUCAAGUAUUUCAGGUUUCUUAAGAGGAUGAUCAGGCAAAGCAUUAAGUAACUUGAGAAGCCUCCCCCAAGCUUGUGGGAGACUCUCUUCUUUGAUUUGAACAAAGUUGUAUAUUUCCCUCAAGGCAGCUUGUUUCUUAUGAGCAGGGAAAUAUUUAGCAGAGAAGUAAUAAAUCAUAUCCUGGGGACUACGCACACAACCAGGAUCAAGAGAAUUAAACCAUAUCUUUGCAUCACCCUUUAAUGAGAACGGAAAUAUCUUAAGUAUAUAAAAGUAACGCGAUCUCUCAUCAUUUGUGAACGGGAAGCUAUAUCAUUUAACUUAGUGAGAUGUGCCACAACAGUUUCAGAUUCAUAACCAUAGAAGGGAUCCGAUUCAACCAAAGUAAUUAUAUCAGGAUCAACAGAGAACUCAUAAUCCUUAUCAGGAACACAAAUAGGUGAAGUAGCAAAAGCAGGAUCAGGUUUCAUUUUAUCUCUAAGUGAUUCUUUGUUCCAUUUAACUAACAACCUCUUGAGCUCAUAUCUAUCUCUGCAAGCUAAAAUAGCUAAAGAAGAUUCUUUAUCAAAAACAUAACCCUCAGGAAUAAUAGGCAUAUUUUCAUCAUCACUGUCAUCAUCAUAUUCAGAUUCAAUAAUUUCCUUUUCUCUAGCCCUAGCAAUUUGUUCAUCAAGAAAGUCACUAAGGGGCACACUAGUAUUAGGCAUAGAAGCAAUUUCAUCAUAAGUAUCAUGCAUAGCAGAAGUGGCAUCAUCAAUAACAUGCGACAUAUCAGAACGAAUAGCAGAAGCAGGUUUAGGUGUCGCAAGCUUACUCAUAACAAAAGGUGAAUCAAGUGCAGAGCUAGAUGGAAGUUCCUUACCUCCCCUCGUAGUUGAGGGAUAAAUUUUUGUUUUCUCGUCUUUCAAGUUCUUCAUAGUGUCCAGCAGAUAUAAAUCCCAAGUGACUCAAAGAAUAGAGCUAUGCUCCCCGGCAACGGCGCCAGAAAAAGGUCUUGAUAACCCACAAGUAUAGGGGAUCGCAACAGUUUUCGAGGAUAGAGUAUUCAACCCAAAUUUAUUGAUUCAACACAACAGGAGCCAAAGAAUAUUCUCAAGUAUUAGCAGCUGAGUUGUCAAUUCAGCCACACCUGGAAACUUAGAUCUGCAGCAAAGUGUUUAGUAGCACAGUAAUAUGAUAGUGGUGGUAACGGUAGCAAAAGAGUAGUGCAAGCAAAAGUAAAUAUUUUUGGUGUUUUGUAGUGAUUGUAACAGUAGCAGCGAGAAAGUAAAUAAGCGAGAACCAGUAUAUGGAAAACUCGUAGGCACCGGAUUAGCGAUGGAUAAUUAUGCCGGAUGCGGUUCAUCAUGUAACAGUCAUAACAUAGGGUGACACAGAACUAGCUCCAAUUCAUCAAUGUAAUGUAGGCAUGUAUUCCGAAUAUAGUCAUACGUGCUUAUGGAAAAGAACUUGCAUGACAUCUUUUGUCCUACCCUCCCGUGGCAGCGGGGUCCUAUUGGAAACUAAGGGAUAUUAAGGCCUCCUUUUAAUAGAGAACCGGAACAAAGCAUUAGCACAUAGUGAAUACAUGAACUCCUCAAACUAUGGUCAUCACCGGGAGUGGUCCCGAUUAUUGUCACUUCGGGGUUGCUGGAUCAUAACACAUAGUAGGUGACUAUAGACUUGCAAGAUAGGAUCAAGAACUCACAUAUAUUCAUGAAAACAUAAUAGGUUCAUAUCUGAAAUCAUGGUACUCGGGCCCUGGUGACAAGCAUUAAGCAUAGCAAAGUCAUAGCAACAUCAAUCUCAGAACAUAGUGGAUACUAGGGAUCAAACCCUAACAAAACUAACUUGAAUACAUGAUAAAUCUCAUCCAACCCAUCACCGUCCAGCAAGCCUACGAUGGAAUUGCUCACGCAUAGCGGUGAGCAUCAUGAAAUUGGUGAUGGAGGAUGGUUGAUGAUGACGACGGCGACGAAUCCCCCUCUCCGGAGCCCCGAACGGACUCCAGAUCAGCCCUCCCGAGAGGUUUGAGGGCUUGGCAGUGGCUCCGUAUCGUAAAACGCGAUGAUUUCUUCUCUCUGAUUUUUUUUCUCUACGAAAGAGAAUAUAUAGAGUUGGAAUUGGCGUCGGAGGGUGUCCAGGGGGCCCACGAGGUAGGGGGGGCGCCCUAGAGGGGGGGGCGCCCCCCACCCUCGUGGACAGGGUGUGGGGCCCCUGGUCUUCAUUUUUGGCGAGGAUUUUUUAUUGUUUUUUCUAAGAUGUUCUGUGUAGUUUCAGGUCAUUCCGAGAAUAUUUGUUUUCUGCACAUAAAACAACAUCAUGGCAAUUCUGCUGAAAACAGCGUCAGUCCGGGUUAGUUCCAUUCAAAUCAUACAAGUUAGAGUCCAAAACAAGGGCAAAAGUGUUUGGAAAAGUAGAUACGACGGAGACGUAUCAAUGACCCAAACCAUGGACAUGCAACUAGGAGCCCCAUGCAAACCCACUAUGGACAUGCAACUAGGAAAUGCAAACUAAUUUACUUUAUGCAAGCAUGCAACUCAUUUAGUUCAUGGAACCGUAGACAUGCAUAAAAAACAUUUAGUUUUAGUGCAUCAAAAAAUGAUCCAUCACAAAAAUUAGUGCAAGAAAAAGGCCAAAGUAAAAACAAGUAACAUUUUAUUUGCCGAAGUUAGAGGUGGGCUGGUGCCCCUACGCGGGUGGGCUGGUCUCUAUUUGGGCAUGGUUAUUUUCUCACGACCCAACAUCUAUUCGGCGGCCCAGUUUUGUUUUUUACUAGAAACUGAAUUUGGGUGUGUACUCUAUUAACUGAAGAAUAAAAACAGAGGAAACAGAGCAUGAACACUGAAUAAUUUGUGUUCCAAAUUGCUGCUUCAAUUCAGAUACAUGAACUUGGCAUGGCGCACAGAUCACAUCCUCUACCCUGACAGGCCUAAAUGCCCAUUCUAAUGAUGGAUGAACAACAAAUAAAACAAAAACAGAGCAAUGAUACAAUAAUAGAACCCCCCUGCCAUGAUAUUUGCUUGCUUUUGCAGAUCGAUCACCUGCAUUAGAUAUUUCUUGAUCUUCUUCAGUUCCUCGGUCAGUUCGGACUCUACAUGCAGUUCAGCAUUGCACGGAUACAUCGCCAUCGGCAUGACUCUGCCCGCCCCUCUGCCUGAGCUCCCCAUAUUCUCCACAGCAAUCGGCGGCACCCCGCCCAAAUUGAGCUCCCAGGUUGCGGCCACGCUCGAAUCAACGUAGCCCUCAAACUGAAUCCUAUCAACAUAUUCAUCAAUCCACUCGAAAUGGUACCAUUUCUUCAGGAUCUGAAAACAACAACAUGAACCCUAAAUCCCAAAUUCGAGGAGAAAAAACAAAAUAUGGAGAAAUCAGAGCAAAUGACAGCGAAAGAACGGGCUUAGAACUGAGAUCUAACCUUGCCAUCCCUUCCUGCCAUUGGUUUGCUCAAGCAUUUCACAAAUUCCUGCCCAAGAUUGCCAUUGUCAUCCCUCUUAGCGACCAACCAUUUAAGAGGGUCUGGACGUGGGCAGUCAGGGCACCUUGUGAGCAGCACUGGUCCAUACUGUCGCCAUUUUGAGUGCGUGGCGGAGGAGGUAGACAUUUGCGCUAGGUCACCGGAGAAGAGAAAGAUUGGGAAAAGGGGAUGAAUGGGCGGCGGCGGGCGGACGGGCACGGGCGCUCGUCUCUUCUAGAUGCGAGGAGGUGGGUCCCGCAAGUAGACAAGUGGUGGGUCCCGCGCUUACGUGGAUAAGUGGUGGGUCCAGCCCCCAACAGCUAACGAGGGCAUCAGUUGAGUUUAACAGCCAUGUCGUGCAUGGGCUAUUUACCUGCUCAAAAUUGUCGCACCACAGCCAUUCGCUCGAACAACGUCACACUCUUGCCAAUUCACCUCAAAUGUGUCGCACAGGAGCUAUUGGCCCCUAAAAAAAUUCACACCCUAUAGGGGUCAUAUGAUGAGGUCAUGACAAGUUUCAUCCAUUUUCGAGCUCAUUUGAAAGUAUUUUUGAAUGGAAGAGCGUUUUACCCUUUUUAGUGGCCAAAAAUUCAACUAAUACUUCCGAAAUAGCAAACCAACUCUAAAGGUGGACAAAUUCGAGCAUGACACUUUGAAUGGUGUGCAUUGAACAUGGAAAAAGUUUGAAGGGGAAGUGUACGCGGAGAACAACCAAAACAAUAAGAUCACAUAAAACAUGGAAAACAUAACACCAGCAUGCCUUUUGUAUCAUCCCCUACUUAUAAGUUAUUAGUUGUGACGUGCAAUCCUCGUCGCCCGUCAGUGUCCCCAUGAACCUAUGUACACCCAUCCCAAAAUUUCAUAGGCCUCUCGCUUGAUCGAUUUGAUUUUGCCUCAUCAAAUCCUAAAUUGGGAAUAGGAGGCGCCGACCUAGGGGAGGCAAUCGACGAUGGCACCCAAGUGAGCUACUCCCGCCAGCCGGCAUCCUCGUCCUCCUACAUUAGCAUCGGCAUACCUGCCACCGCAUCUCCUUCCCGACCAUUGAUGUGAGAUCUCACCUCUUCCAUGACCCUCAUGGCAUGGAGCUUUCUGUCGACCACCGGUCCUCCUCCUCCCUUAACCCUGCUUUGCCCCCCCCCCCCCUCCAUAUGUGCCGACAGACCACUUCCUCCUCCACCACUCCUUCCCCCAUCGAACCACCUCCUCCUCCACCCCUUGCCACCCAACCACUUUACUCCUCUCUUCCGCUUCCCCACAGAUUUUUCCAAACCUCUCCUUGUUUCUCAUUGAAGUUUUUUUUGGAAGAUUGGAUCACCACGAGACCGGAUUAAGGUGAGAUCUAGGUUAUGCGACAUGACUGUGAACCAUAAAUGGGUUUUUUGGGUCAAAUGAGAUGGUAAAUUAUAUGAUGGACAUUUAAUAAAUACAAGACAACAAUUUUUUAGAACAUCGUGAACAUUUUUGAAAUGCAAAAAAAUUGCAUGGUGGAGGAAAAAUCAUGAAAGAAAAUUUAAAGCUGAGGGUAGACAUGGAAUUGAGUCGAGGCGAGUUGUGUGCACGGUGUGGACAGGCAACUAGGUUAGACAAGUUUGGUGUCGAGGGUAGACAUGGUAUUAUGUCGGGUUCAGGGCAAGUUAUGUGUCUAUGAUGGACAUCCAACUAGAUCAGGUCGAGACGAGUUGCGUAUUGAUGGUCGACAUACAACUGGGUUAGGAGAGUUGCGUGUCAUGGGUGGACAUGCAACAAGGUCGGGAAAGUUGUGUGUCGAGUGUGCACAUGCAACUUGGUCGGGAAUGGUCAAGUUGGGGGUCUAGGGUGGACAUGCAACUGACAUGGAAAUGGGUCCAACGACUAUGCAUUUCAAAGGUGGACAUGCAAUUCCGUAGGUGUCAGGGGCAGGAAGGCGAGUUAUGUAUCGGGGAUGGACAUGCAACUAGAUCAGGGUAUGGAAAGUUGUAUGUCGAGAGUGGAUAUUCAACUUGAACAAAGGGGUCGAGGGCCCGUUACAUGUUCAGGGUGAACUUGCAACUGGGGCAAAGGGGGUCAAGGGCCGGUUACAGGUCAAGUAUGUACUUGCAACUGUGACGAAGGGUCAAGGUCCAAUUGCAUGUCAAGGAUGGACUUGCAACUAGGGCAAAGGGUUGAGACAAGUUGUGUCGCGAGGGUGCACCUGCAAAUGGGACAAAUCCUCGACGCCAAAUUGUGUGUCGAGGGUGCAUUCCAACCGAAAAAAGAUGAUCAGGCCUCGAUUGUGUGUCGAGGGUGAAUUUGCAGUUAGGGCAAAAAGGUCGGGCCUAAUUGCAUGUCACAUGGGUGAUACAACAGCCCACGCACAAAGGUGAUUCUCUCUUAGAAACGAAACAAAACCACAACAAUGGUCCAGGAAAAAUUCAAAACAACACAAAUCUUGGAGCUAUAAAUCGGCAGGUGCAAAACUUAAAUGAGACAUCAUUAGCAAACUGAGCCUAGAUCAGAUGGUUAGUUUUUUAUGGUGAAACCAGCCCACGAGGGUCUUGGCAUGGUGCUUUUUUCUAAUUUAUUUCAGACUUUGCAGCAAUAUCUGUUCAACAGGAGGAGGCGUUCCUGUCUGACUAUGGAGGCGGUAGUGAUAACUUCAUCAAUCUCAAAGAUGAUGUGCUGGCCCAGUCUCUCGAAGGUGCUCAUUGGGGUAGGGUGUGCGUACGUGCUUUCAUAGGGGUCGGUGUAUUUGGCUAUGUAUGAGCGUCUGCGCCUGUACUGUGUUAAAAAAUCAUUAUUUCUCCUCUAGAUGAGAAUUAGCAAAACUGAAUUUCAAUCAUUUAUUUAGGAUGCCGAUAACGCCCACACGUGUGGGCGUUAAGCGGUCUGCCCACACGUUUUGUGUGGUGUCUAAGAGGAUCAGCCCACACGCCUACGUGUGGGCAAAACAAGUAAUGCCCACAUGCCUCUUUUUUCCUCUCGGUCCCUCACACUCCUACGUGUGGGCAAAAUAGAUAACGCCCACACACCCGUACGUCAGGCCUCCUACCUCAUGGUCCCGCACGCCCCGCGUGACAGUUACCACGCGCCCCGCAGUUGCCAUGGUCCGGAUCAUUUUCCGUGUUCGUUUAACUGCAGUUGCCAUGUCACUGAACUAUAGUUGCCAUGGUUGCUCAACUGCAGUUGCCAUCUCAGGUCAAGUGCUAGAUGUCAUUUUUGGACAACUGCAGUUGUUGCCAUGUAUGGUCUGGUUUACUAUAGUUGCCAUGAUUUGAAAACUUUAGGGGUUGCCACCUACUAACACUAGGCAGUUGCCAUGUAUGGUCUGGUUUACUACAGUUGCCAUGAUUUGAAAACUUUAGGAGUUACCACCUACUAACACUAGGCAGUUGCCGUGUAGCGCUACAAAGAGACAUGGCAAAAUAACAUGUUUGGGUAAAGAGAGAGUUGCCAUCAAGCACACUAGGGCAGUUGCCAUGUACCCUGCAAAACACAUGUUAAGUGACAUGUUCGGGUAAAAGAGAGAGUUGACAUCUGCUUACAAGCACACUAGGGCAGUUGCCAUGUACCCUGCAAAACACAUGGCAACUGGCAGCUUGGGGUGUGGGAGAGGAGACGGGCGUGUGAACGAAACUGAUAAAUGCCCACACACCAGCCCCUGUGCAUGAGUGAAAACUGACGUGCGGGCGAACUGCUAAAUGCCCACACAGCGGUCCCUUCGUGUGGUGAAAACGGACGUGUGGGCGACCGGAUGAAUGCCCACACACCAGACCAGUCCUACGUGGCAUCACAAACAUGCCAAGAUUUGUGCAACCACAAAUGGACAUAGAUCCAUGCGUGUGGGCGAGAUGCAAACGCCCACAGGUGUGGGCGUUAGUAUUUCCGUUUAUUUGUUACUAGUCGUCAACCCGUGCAGUUGCACGGGCUAGCAAUUUUGAAAACAAUAAAAUAGUGAAAAUAGUAACUUGGGCAUAUGAAGAGUCAUUGUUAUAGUCAGAUAAUAGUCCUCUUGUACAAAGAAGAAUUGCCGCACCAAACCUGAGACAAUAUCAUAUAUUAUUUUCUAAUAGAAAUGCUUUACCCAAUGAAAACCAUAUGUUCAUGUGCCGCGUCAAACUAAACCUUAGAAAAUAGCUCAAAUUCUUAAUCGUGGGAAUUAAACCUAUGUAACUUUGAUUUUUUUAGGGGAUGUAACUUCGAUUUAUGGUGUAUAUAAAUUAUAUUAUUCUCAUUUAUGAAGUGAAAAUAGUAACAUUAGAUUUAUGGUGUAUAUAAAUUAUAUUAUUCCCAUUUAUGAAGUGAAGACCAAUACCAUCCUGUUUCUUUUCUCAUGAAAAGUUGUUAAAUAAUACAAAAAUUCUUGUAGUAUAGAUAAUAAAUAUCAAGUAUAUUUCAACAAAAAUAUCAUAUAUUUCUGUAAGAAAUAAAAUUUAUCAUCACUAAGGGCUAUAACAAAACUAAAAACCAUCAAAGGAUCAAAAUGCCAACCAGAUUUAUUUGGUUAGGUAUUUAGUGAAGGCCUUAGUUCUCGAAUCCAGGAAACAAUCGAGCACUGAAGUCCUGUUAGGUGCUCCUACCAAGAGACCCCAAUAUGAUAAAGGACAUAGGACACGAGUCUUCCAGAAAAUCAUACCAACCUCAAAGCUAAAUCCAGAGACAUAUACACAUCCAAGGUGUCUGAAAUAAUGUGGGAAUUUCUACAGUUAUAUUCCUUGUGGUAGUGGGCUUAAGGGAGCCUCCAGAUAGUGAAAUUCCAAAGUUACGAACUCUUGCUCUGAUUCCAAAAAGAGGGCGUGCAGCUUUUUGAAAUUUAAACACGACCAUCAAGUGGGCAGUAAUACGUUGGUCAUGUAACUUGAAAAAUAUAUCAUUGAAAAAAUAUUUCAGACAUGAAUGCAAUGCUAUAAGUUUCAUGAGACAUAAUUAGAUUUCAUGGACUGAAAUCAUUGUGAAAGUUAAAUCUCAAAAUGCACGUACGCCUUUGACAGUCGAGCAUAUAACAUGGACAUCCUUCAAAAAGGUAUGAACUUAAUCCCUCUUGGUGGAGUCUGGGGGACUACAACUUCCAGAAGCACAUCCAUGUCAUGCAUAGGCAAGGAAAUAAUUGAAUACAUGCUAUUAUCUUGUUUUGAAAGAUUGAGCAUUGAAGCAUAUAUAUCCUAAGGGGUCUAUCUUGUGUGCGUAAUGAUGCAUGAACCAAAUCUAAAUCAGCAGGGCUGGUCUGGCGCCUCUUGGCCUCUUUGGUAGUUCUUUUACCAUGGAGGUUACCACAUCUUUCCGUACAUUUUUUUUAAUUUGCAACCAAUGGCCUAGCCAAAUAGGUCAUGUGAAUAAAAAAUAGUCAACUCGGAGGCUGGGAUGCUUAUAAAAGCUGCCCAAAACUACAUUGGUGCAAGACCAUGUGUAACGUCCAAUUCACCUAGUCAGCCAUGUACUAAUGUGUAUUACGUAUCCUUCUUUGCCUCUAUGAAUCCGACAAACAUCCACACGUCUACUGUUGGAAGAAGAAACUAAGACCUAUUAGAUAAGAAAUUCGAACUUGAUCAUACAAAUUUACAUGAAAAAAAUGAGAUUCUUACUGCCGACUACUAACAACAUAAAAGUUUCAUUCAUACCUCAAGUAUGUGUGGGAAAACAUACUCUAUCGCCGAAUGAAUCAAAAUUAGAACCCAGUUACAGUCUUCAUGUGGAGGCCAAACAAAUCAGGAGCAAAUGCCAGCCUGCAACUUGACAACGCGAUUGAUUCAUAGGAUGAAGUUGCCGAUGACCUUAGGAUCGAGUGUGCUGCUAUUGGCCAGUCUUCCCGAUAUGAAGGAGGCACUUGUUCUAUCGUGGGAGGAGGAAUUGCAAAGCUUAACAGCCGGGGAGGGGGGCUCUAGCAGCGGUUGGCCCAAGAGGAGAUCCCAGCGAAUUGGAAUCGGUGGGGAUUGGCGUGGGUUUACUCCAUGCAUACACAUAUGUGUACGUGUACCAGGAGACAAUGAAGUCACGCACCAGUACAUAGGUCUGUAGUUUUUGAAGGAAAAUAGAUCUAGAUAGCUUUCCUAAAGCACUACGUGGCUCAUAAUUAUUUUAUUUGGAGAUGCAGUCGUAGGUUGGACAAACUCUUGUGAUCGGCCAUCAUGUAAACUGAAUCGAUUAUAUAAGUUUUUCUUUUUCCAAUUAAAGUGGCAAUUUAUAUAUGGGUUGAUCUACACCGUAAUAGCUCGGUCCCACCAGAUUAACGGCUCNNNNNNNNNNNNNNNNNNNNNNNNNNNNNNNNNNNNNNNNNNNNNNNNNNNNNNNNNNNNNNNNNNNNNNNNNNNNNNNNNNNNNNNNNNNNNNNNNNNNNNNNNNNNNNNNNNNNNNNNNNNNNNNNNNNNNNNNNNNNNNNNNNNNNNNNNNNNNNNNNNNNNNNNNNNNNNNNNNNNNNNNNNNNNNNNNNNNNNNNNNNNNNNNNNNNNNNNNNNNNNNNNNNNNNNNNNNNNNNNNNNNNNNNNNNNNNNNNNNNNNNNNNNNNNNNNNNNNNNNNNNNNNNNNNNNNNNNNNNNNNNNNNNNNNNNNNNNNNNNNNNNNNNNNNNNNNNNNNNNNNNNNNNNNNNNNNNNNNNNNNNNNNNNNNNNNNNNGAGAGAGAGAGAGAGAGGGGUAUAGAUAGAUAGAUAGAUAGAUAUAGAUAGAUAGAUAGAUAGAUUAGGAUACAUUUGUUCAAACCCGAUUAUAGCUUAGCAAAAGGUUUUAUUUCUUGUGGUGCUUAUUCAUUACGAUACCGACUCGUUUGUGAUUUGUCUUGCUGGGGGUCGGGUUUUGUUUCUGAUACAAAUUCCGAGUCUAAGUCGUACUAGUAGGCGCUCCCAUCUGACCACUACAUAUAUGACUGCCUGCCUACGUACGAACGAAGGCGCAGGGCACAGCCGAUUCAUGUUGGUCGGAAAAAAUAACGAUAUGAUGAUGAAGCCCCCGAUUUCUAAACGACCCUGCCGGAGAGGCUGGAAGUCACCGGAAUCAGCACUGCCUUUACCCUCCGGCAGUAGCAGUAGCAGUAGCAGUAGCAGCUUCAUCCCGGAUGAAAUAAUCUUCUUCGAGAUACUGGUACUUCUUCCCGUCAAGUCCCUCCUGUGCUUCCAAGCCGUCUGCAAGUCAUGGCGCGCCACACUAACCAGCACUCCUUUCGUCCGCAGGCACCUGGAGCUCUCAAGGUCGACCAUGGUCGUGGUGCCGCGCAAGUACCAGGCCUCUCGAUUCCUCAACAUCUUCAGCUUCCAGCCAGGCGAAAGCAAGUGCGCCGAGCUUAUGGUCCGAAAGGAGUUUCAGCCCUAUGGGGUCCCGGCGUUCAGCAUUCCUCUCCACUGCGACGGCCUCAUCUUGAUCCCUGCCUUGAUGGGGAAAAUUUUCAUCUGCAACCCGGCCACUGGAGAGUUUGUUGAGUUGCCGCCUGGAAGCCCCAGCCUUCUCCAUGAGCACAGGGUCGCCUUUGGCUUUGAUCCCUGGAGUGGCGCCUACAAGGUGGCCAGGCACUUCAUCCGCUCCUACAGAGAUAUUCCACAAAUGGAUGUGGAAGAAGGAGGCGCCAUUAGAGAAUACAGCUGCGGACAUGAGAUCUUGACAUUCGGUGGUGAUGUCGGCAAGGAAGAAGCUUUGGUAUGGAAGGCCACCGUGGAUCCGCCAUACCCUAUCAAGGCCAGGACCCCGAUUUGUCUCCCGGGGGCCUUCUUUUGGAGUGCUCUCAAGUCCAUGCUACUACCUGCAAAGGUUAUCUCGAACGUCAUACUUCGAUUCAGUUUACUUGAUGAAACAUUUACGGUGCACCCUAACCCUCCGUGCAGCGAUUAUCUAGGCGGGAACGAUUCACUAUCGGCGCUAGGUGAAAAGUUAUGCUAUAUCCACUCUACCUCUCCGUGGGAGAUUUCCGUUUGGUUGGCGGAAGAUGGACCAAAUCUGGCUUGGUCACUAUGCCGCCGAGUCUGCCUGCCGAUACCAAGAAUGCUUCUUGCCUUUGCUUGCGCGUCGACUGAACGGGACAAGAUAUUCAUCACCGUUGAUGCGUGCAUCCUUCUCCGGUGUGAUCUCCGUGAUGGAUCCCUUGAAGAAGUAAUCAACAUGCCACGUGACAUGUUGUAUGAUCUCCGGAAUGGCAGAAAAAUCAACAUUGGUGCGCUCUUUGUUGCCCACUACACGGUGCCGUAUGUGGAAUCACUCCUGCGCAUCAGACCUCCGUGAUAACCAGACAUCAUAUCGUACGUGAUCUCAUCAUUAUAUAAUAAACGUUGUCUAAUUUCUUGUGUUGCAGCCAAAAUUAGCGGAAGCACAUUAAUAUACGUCUGUUUUUGCAUUGUUCUUACCUAGUCCUUACAAUGUAUUUCGUUAUGAGUGGAUAUUGUCCAUCACAAUUUUUUUAAUAUAAUUAUGCUUUCAAAGUCCUGCUGAUUAUGUACUUGUUGAUGUAGCAUGAAUUUUUCAGAUAUUGUACCUGACAUGGAGCGCUAGCUGAACCACAUGACAUGCGCACCACUUUAUUCCUGUCGCUGAUAAGUAUUUGCUGACUAGAAUGUAUCUAAACCCAGCGGCUCACCUUAAUAUUACCAGUUUUGUUGCCUAUAUGCAUCGAGUUUAGCAGACACGCCAUAUAUGGAACUUAUUAACAUAUGCCAACCAAACCAAUAUUUAUUGAUUAAAAAAGUGAGCACAAUAUUGAUCAUUUGGAGCAGUCAUGUGCGAUACAGCCCUAUGCAUACAAUACAUACCCGACAGGCCAUUCGAACAUAUUAUCAGCCUUCUUGGUCGAUGAAUUCGGGAUACUAUCAGGACUCCACAGAAGAGAUGGCUCCUGAAUAUGAUAAUAAUGUAAGACGAUGUACUUCUGUCAUAUUUGAGAUGCUACCGAUACAAUGCUGAUGCUUGAUCCUGCUUGUUUAUAAAACUGCCAAAUUGACAGAUUAUCGCUAAUAUAUCUUUUCUUUGUUAACUCGUUGUUUUGACUCACAGAGUGCUUUAGAAUAUGGUGAACAUCGAGUAUACUUUUUCUUCCUCCUAUCCUCAACAAGUAGUACUUUAUGAGCAAUCUUAUGGUGAUGGGUGUGUCUCCUUAGAGCAAAAUGUCCAGAGCAACUCGAACGCGUUUUCUGAAGAUACCUCCGAAAUCACUAAAUCGGCAAGCACAAGAGUGUGUGGUUAUUCAAAUUGAUUUUGUCAAUACUAAAGAUCAAAAUUGCAAUGCUAGACACUUAUAUUUUUAUGCGGUCCAUGUUUUGGCCUUUGGCUCCAUUUCUUCAGGAAAAAAAAUAAAAAACAAAAAAUCAGGCCUUUUGGAGCUCUUAAAAAAAUACUUUUUCUUCUGUUCUUUAUUUUGACCAUGUUCUCAGUUGUCUGGUGAUUUACUGUGAAUUUCCCUCUACAUGUGUUACAUGUAGAUUGAAGGAGGAAAAGGCAUUAGAAUUGUGCUUUAAUGUGCAAAAUAUCAUUGAUAAAGAGUAAAUUAUAAUAAGAAAUAGUGAUGCAAAAUGGACGUAUCAGCUCCCCCAAGUUUAGACCUCACUUGUCCCCAAGCGAAAUUCGAGCAUAGUAAACAUGUCACAAUUUUAUGAAGUGUGGAUUCAAUAGUAAAUAAUACCAAAAUGACAGCAUCACUAUUUAAUUUCCUAAUCAGACAUUCUAAACAACAAUCCCUUCUUAUUCUUACAUAACUUCUGAUGAGAAGGUCAUGACACCUUUAGAUGCAAAAGUUAAACCCAUAAAAGUCUCUUGAUCAUUAAUUUUAGAAACUGCCUGGGCACGAGGAGAUGCAUGCAAGGUUGGGAUAUGGCCAAGCAUCCAGUUGAUAAGCACAUAGUCAUGUCCACCUUGAUUGCUGGGUUGAUCCAUAUAUCCCGUGCCGGGUUUUCUAGAAAAGGCAAGUAUCUAGGAUGUGUGGCGCACAUUUGUGUACACACCAGUACAAGGCACCCUGGAAAGCAGAUAAAAAACAUGUAACGGAUGAUUAUCUCCAGACAAAUCAUGCGUAUGCAUGAAGGAAUUCAGUCGUAGCGGUGGUAACAGAUACAAAAGGCCAUGGUUUUACGCAGCGGAAGAUAAAGAUCGGUCAUGGCCGCGCAUGCUGCAUGCGGGCCUGCACGAGCAAUGUGACCCUGGUUGUGUUUCACACCCAUAGGCACCACGGCAUUGAGAAUUAUCCUUCCAUGUAUUUCUAGCAAUUAAUGGUGAACUAUGGCUGGGUGUAGAGGGGUCAUAGACUUAAGAAACACACAUGGUUUUUUAUAAACGUGUGGUAGGUGAUAUAUAGUAUUUAUAGGUCCAUACAUCUAGAUCAAACAUCACAAAAAACAGCGGCAGUGCUACAUAUGCACAUCCAGCUAGCGAGACAAAUGUGAGUGUUUGUUUGCCUUGCAUCAAAAAGCCAAACACCAGAAACAGAAGCAUGCAUAUGACACGAGUAGGGGUAGCACGAAGAGCACAUAUUCAUAUAUUAACAAGAAUGAGAACAAUCUGGCAUGUCAUGGAUUGGAGAGGUUGGAGAAACCUAGCUACUUGUCACCACAAGGGUGUGGCACCUCCAACAGGACAAACAAUGCAUAGUUGUAAAGAUGAGGAAGCAAUCUAUCUAUCCAUCCAUAGUGAGUGCCACUAGAUACAAAAUUAAAAAAGGCAAAAAAAAUUCAAGACUUCUCUAGCAAGCGCCUUGCUAGUACACGUAUUUACUCCUAUUUAAGCGCCUCCAUGGAUAUCCAUAGCUUAUUAAAUUCCUUCCUUCGUUACUUACAUAUUUAUGAUUGCCUCCAAUAUUGCCAUCACCCUAGAAUCCAUUGCAGAGAAAGCCUCCACCAUGACAGACCACCUUCAAGUUCAGCAACAGAAGUUGGAGCUACCGCCGGGGUUUAGGUUCCACCCAACGGAUGAGGAGAUCAUAAAAUUCUAUGUGGUCCCCAAGGUGCUCGAUGAAGCCUUCGUCGCUGCGGCGAUUGAGGAUGUGAACCUCAACAAGUACGAGCCAUGGGAGCUACCGGAGAAGGCGAAGAUGGGGGAAAAGGAGUGGUACUUUUACUGCCGAAAGGAUCGCAAGUACCCCACCGGGAUACGAACGAACCAGGCGAAGAAUGCUGGCUAUUGGAAGGCCACCGGAAAGGACAAGGAGAUCUUCCACCCGCCGCUCACACUCAUCGGCAUGAAGAAGACGCUCGUCUUCUACAAGGGCAGGGCACCUAGGGGGGAGAAGACCAACUGGAUCAUGCAUGAGUAUAGGCUUGAGAGCAACAAGCAGCUAACUUCCAACCCGUCCACCGCAACCCGCACCGUCACCAUCACCAACGCGUCUUCCAAGGUAUAUAAUAAAUUUAUAGUAUAUAGUAGUAGUCAUGAAUUCUUAACAUGCCAUUAGCUAGUUAGCCACCUUUUCUGAACAAUCAGGGGGAGAAUCCCCACUUGAAUAUUACUCUAAGUCGCCAAUACAUGGCAAGAAUUACAAGGUUGCACCGAUGCAUGAGGGGAGAUAAAGCGGCCAUGACAUAGCGGCCUCCUUGAGUAGGUUACUUGAAUGUAUGGGUAAAAAGAGGGAAACCAUCAGUAGUGUUCUUGAUAGUAGACCGAGGUGAGUAAAUACUGCAAUGGAAUGUCGUAGCGUUUCAUGAGUCUUAAAUAUUCUAAAGGAUGGAAAGGUCGACAGAGGCCAAAUGUUGGAAUCGAGGCCUAGGGGAGUCACUGUGUCCCCAUUUCCAGAGGUUUGCACUUGGACAGGGCCGCCAAAAUACCCAAGUUAUGGGAUAUAUGUGUUGGACGUGAGUAGUGAAUGACAAAGUGAUCGGCAUCUGUGACAAAAGAGUCACACCUGGGGCAUGCUACUGAUCAUAGUUGAUUUGCACUUAUUUAAUUUAUGUAUGCUUGUAGGAACAGUGGGUGGUUUGUAGGAUCUUCCAUAAGAGCGCCGGACUGAAGAAGGUGGUGAUGCCGUCAUAUGUCAUGCCAAUGUCCAUCGGAGCGGAACAUCAGCAGGGGUUCGCCGACUUAGAUACAUUGCCUCCUCUCAUGGGCUAUGAGAUGUCGUCAUCGCUAGCAAAUCCAAUGUUGCUUCCUACAACUUCUCCAUACCAAUUGCGCGACAUCGGUGCUGGCUCAUCGAUAAUGGGUAGCAUGGCGCUUCCUAUUAUGAAUGACCACUACAUCGGGAACCACCACCAGCAGAUGAUGUCAGACCCAACACCACCAUUGUCGUUCUACCAACAACAUCAGCAGAUGAUGAUGUAUGUGGGUGCAGAUCGGGGUUUCAUGGUCGGGGCUGAGCCUGGGUGUGGGCCAUCGUCGAUGGUGUCACAGGAACAUGCUGUGACCGGGCUGAGCAACAACUACCAGGGGAACGCCGCCGCAACAGCAGUUGGCAAGACCUCAUCGAUGAACAUGGGUAUGGAUGACAUGUGGAAGUACUGAUGAUCCAAGACAACAUAGAUAUAUGUGUGUGCGUGCAUAAAUUAAUCAUCCAUCAGACGGUCGUUCGAUAUAUGGUGACCCGUAUAUUGGUUUGUGCCGUAUUUAAUUUCUCAUUGUGGCCUCUAGAGAGUUUGCAUGCAGGCAUGCCUCUCUUGUGCUAGUUUUUCCAUUGUGUAUAUGUGUAUUGGCUUGUAUAUGCACUAUCCGCCGGGGUUUACCUGGCGAUAUAUGCAUGUGUUUUAAAAUACUGGCAGGUGUGCAUCAUGCAUCUUUUAAACCUAUAUAAAAUGAACUAUUUUGUUUAAUUAUAAAUUUUUCCAUUAUAUGUUUGGGCGUGCAUUGUCUUUGG